rnacentral:rRNA from 1 species
AGAGUUUGAUCCUGGCUCAGGACGAACGCUGGCGGCGUGCUUAACACAUGCAAGUCGAGCGAUGAAGUUUCUUCGGAAAUGGAUUAGCGGCGAACGGGUGAGGAACACGUGAAGAAUCUGCCCUCCACUUUGGGAUAACACCGGGAAACCGGUGCUAAUACCGAAUAUUGAAACAUAAGUGGCAUCACUGAGUUUUGAAAGAAUUUCGGUGGAGGAUGACUUCGCGGCCUAUCAGCUAGUUGGUGAGGUAAUGGCUCACCAAGGCAACGACGGGUAGCCGGCCUGAGAGGGCGACCGGCCACACUGGGACUGAGACACGGCCCAGACUCCUACGGGAGGCAGCAGUGGGGAAUAUUGGGCAAUGGAGGAAACUCUGACCCAGCGACGCCGCGUGCGGGAUGAAGGCCUUCGGGUUGUAAACCGCUUUCAGCAGGGAAGAAGCGAAAGUGACGGUACCUGCAGAAGAAGCACCGGCUAACUAUGUGCCAGCAGCCGCGGUAAUACAUAGGGUGCAAGCGUUGUCCGGAAUUAUUGGGCGUAAAGAGCUCGUAGGUGGUUCGUCACGUCGGAUGUGAAAAUCUGGGGCUUAACCCCAGACCUGCAUUCGAUACGGGCGAGCUAGAGUGUGGUAGGGGAGACUGGAAUUCCUGGUGUAGCGGUGGAAUGCGCAGAUAUCAGGAGGAACACCAAUGGCGAAGGCAGGUCUCUGGGCCAUUACUGACACUGAGGAGCGAAAGCGUGGGGAGCGAACAGGAUUAGAUACCCUGGUAGUCCACGCCGUAAACGGUGGGCACUAGUUGUGGGAACCUUCCACGGUUUCUGCGACGCAGCUAACGCAUUAAGUGCCCCGCCUGGGGAGUACGAUCGCAAGAUUAAAACUCAAAGGAAUUGACGGGGCCCCGCACAAGCAGCGGAGCAUGCGGCUUAAUUCGACGCAACGCGAAGAACCUUACCAAGGCUUGACAUAUACAGGAAUAUGGCAGAGAUGUCAUAGCCGCAAGGUCUGUAUACAGGUGGUGCAUGGUUGUCGUCAGCUCGUGUCGUGAGAUGUUGGGUUAAGUCCCGCAACGAGCGCAACCC